rnacentral:rRNA from 1 species
CGCCCAACAGCUAGCCCCUUUAAACAAUCACAACAAACCCCUGUUAAUUACCCCCAAAUACCCCCGUGUUUACUUCAAACAAACCAUUCUCCCCCCUUAGUAUAGGCGAUAGAAAA